rnacentral:lncRNA from 1 species
UGCUCAUAUACUACAAUUGUCAUCCAUAGGGUUUAAUUUGUGUGUCAAGUUAAUUUUCACAUCAGUAAGCAAAACCAUCUGUCCAUCACCCAUAUUAACAGUUGAAGAUCAAGAAAUGCUUUGAUAUGCAAGCAAGAGAAAACUGACACCAGGGAUUAGUAAGAGUUAGGAAUUUGACCAAGCCUGAAACUGAUAUUUUAACUCGGGUAGCUCGUCCGGAUUCGAUUUGGGUGAUUCUAGCUUGCACGGUAGUGUCUCUCUCUCGUCUCAGGUCUUCACCUACAAGUUCAGCUUCCGAACCUCCGCCGACCGCACUCAGAGAUCCAGAUCUUUACAGUUGGAACAAGGCAGCUUCAGGGAAAUGUCGCGGAGAAGAGGUUUGGUGCCGGAGAGACUGUACAGGUCCAUGAGAGGAGGUAGCCGAGACCUAGUGUACUGAGGAAAUGCUCUCAAAUGCUCUCACCUUCAGGAAAAGCCGAUACUCCAAGAUCUCCUCCAUUCAUCAUGAGAGACAUCAACUCCUUCUGAAGCUUUUGAGAAAUGGAGGUUGUGUCGAUGGGGAUGGAAGAACCAAGAGGCUUUUGAUCAAUCCACCACCUUAACACAACAACGGGUGCACACACCCACCACAAUCCCCCACACCAUCGACUAAUUUCUCAAUCCACCCAAGAACCAGUUUUUUUAGAACAAAUCUCAGAAACAGAAACCUACCCAAUUCAGAAAAUUGAAUGAUUUACAAACCCAACAAAACCCAACAGGGAAAAAACCUUAUUUUUUGGAUUUUGAUAUUUUUUUUCUGUGUUUUUUAAGAAGCAGCUGGGAGAUGACUAGCUUGCUAGCUUUGACUUGUAGCUGGAAAAGCACCAAACUUUAAACGUGGAAACUGGACAAGAUGGAGAGAGAGAGAGUCUCUGACGGUGUGGACGCCCAAGAACAGGAGAGAGAUGAAGGACCAGAGAGAGAUCUGAGGAGUGUUUGAGAUUUUGAUAUUUUUCUGUUUCUGGGUUUUUGUGAUUUUGCAGAUUCAUGGUGGAGGUAAACAAAUGAAAGAAAACUGACAUAGUUUUUCGUGUCGAUUCCUACAGACGGUGCCAAAUGUUGAUGCACAAAACCGGAGGGGUCUUGGAACAACGUAAAUUCGACCGUGAAUCUA